UACGGAGGGAGCUAGUGUUGUUCGGAAUUACUGGGCGUAAAGCGCACGUAGGCGGCUUUGUAAGUUAGAGGUGAAAGCCCGGGGCUCAACUCCGGAACUGCCUUUAAGACUGCAUCGCUUGAAUCCAGGAGAGGUGAGUGGAAUUCCGAGUGUAGAGGUGAAAUUCGUAGAUAUUCGGAAGAACACCAGUGGCGAAGGCGGCUCACUGGACUGGUAUUGACGCUGAGGUGCGAAAGCGUGGGGAGCAAACAGG
rnacentral:rRNA from 1 species